GCCCCAAUAUUCUAGAAUCGAAUGCGCUCAAUUUUGCGAAGUCAUUGUGAGGAAGUUACAAUUUUUAGCACAUAGUUUAGUGUAAACUAAAGGGGGGAAUGGAGGAAAUAGGAAUUAUCAUUCCUGAAAAGCAGGAAGAAACUUUUACCACAGAACCACGUAUUACUAGUGGCUGUACUCUUUCUGCGACUGAUGAACUGGAUUUGGAAGAUUUGUAUACCAAGUACAAGAAACUUCAACGACAACUGGAAUUCUUAGAAGUUCAAGAAGAGUAUAUAAAAGAUGAACAGAAAAACCUGAAAAAAGAAUACCUCCAUGCUCAAGAGGAAGUAAAAAGAAUUCAGAGUGUACCUUUAGUUAUUGGACAGUUUCUUGAAGCAGUCGAUCAGAAUACUGGAAUAGUGGGUUCUACUACAGGAUCCAACUACUACGUCCGAAUUCUGUCCACAAUUGACAGAGAACUUCUUAAGCCAAGUUCCAGUGUAGCUCUUCACAAACACAGCAAUGCUUUGGUUGAUGUGUUACCACCAGAAGCAGAUAGCAGCAUUGCCAUGCUGCGUCCAGAUGAGAAACCCGACGUGUGCUACUCAGAUAUCGGAGGUUUGGAUAUACAGAAACAAGAGAUCAGAGAAGCUGUGGAGCUCCCUCUUACCCACUUUGAACUCUACAAACAAAUUGGGAUCGACCCUCCUCGUGGGGUUCUUAUGUAUGGUCCCCCUGGUUGUGGAAAGACCAUGUUGGCAAAGGCUGUAGCACAUCAUACUACAGCUGCUUUUAUAAGAGUUGUUGGGUCUGAAUUUGUUCAGAAAUACCUCGGUGAAGGUCCAAGAAUGGUGAGAGACGUUUUUCGACUAGCUAAGGAAAAUGCUCCUGCUAUUAUUUUUAUUGAUGAAAUUGAUGCCAUUGCUACGAAACGCUUUGAUGCCCAGACUGGAGCUGACAGAGAAGUUCAGAGGAUUCUUCUCGAACUGCUCAAUCAGAUGGAUGGUUUUGAUCAAACAACAAAUGUGAAGGUGAUAAUGGCAACCAACAGAGCAGACACCCUUGACCCCGCAUUGUUACGACCUGGCCGACUAGACAGAAAGAUAGAAUUUCCCAUGCCAGACCGGCGACAGAAGAGAUUAAUCUUUUCCACGGUCACUGCAAAAAUGAACUUGAGUGAAGAAGUUGACCUGGAGGACUAUGUAGCUCGUCCAGAUAAGAUCGCGGGAGCUGACAUUAACGCCAUCUGUCAGGAGGUGCGUGAAGCAUUUUUGUCUGCUUGCUUGUUUUGUGUUAGCUCUUGUGCUUCGUAAUGAAUACAAAUUUCGAGGAGCAAUCCAUAGACUGUCUUAAACUUCCUUGAGACUAUAGGAUACUUAUAUUCUAUUACAUCAAUAGUAUUAGAUUUGGCUUUAAGUCUUAAUUUGAAAAAAACUCAUUUUGCUAAAUAUUAUUAUUAAUAAGAGAGUUCUACCCACGUGGCUUAAAAAAACAUAGUAGUUAAAGUGCAGUCAAAGAUAUGAAUGGAUAUAACCUACCUGAAUGAUAGUUUUGAAAAUUGUUAUUUUGGUAUAUAAAACAAGGUAAAUGUUUAACACGUCAUUUGGCUUUCAAGCAGAAUCUCUAUUUAUGUAAAACAAAGUAAACAUUUAACACGUCAUUUGGCUCUCAAGCAGAAUCUAUUUAUGUAAAACAAGGUAAACGUUUAACACGUCAUUUGGCUUUCAAGCAGAAUCUCUAUUUAUGUAAAACAAAGUAAACAUUUAACACGUCAUUUGGCUCUCAAGCAGAAUCUAUUUAUGUAAAACAAGGUAAACGUUUAACACGUCAUUUGACUCUCAAGCAGAAUUUAUUUAUGUAAAUCAAGGUAAACAUUUAACACGUCAUUUGGCUCUCAAGCAGAAUCUAUUUAUGUAAAACAAAGUAAACAUUUAACACGUCAUUUGGCUUUCAUGCAGAAUCUCUAUGUAAAACAAAGUAAACAUUUAACACGUCAUUUGGCUUUCAAAGAGAAUCUCUAUUUAUGUAAAACAAAGUAAACAUUUAACACGUCAUUUGGCUUUCAAGCAGAAUCUCUAUUU
rnacentral:misc_RNA from 1 species